CCCUUAGAUGUCCGGGGUUGCACGCGCGCUACACUGAAGGAAUCAGCGUGCUAAAACCAUUGUCGAAAGGCAUUGGUAAACCCAUUAAAAUCCUACGUGAUUGGGAUCGGGAAUUGCAAUUAUUUCCCUUGAACGAGGAAUUCCCAGUAAGUGUGGGUCAUAAGCUCGCGUUGAUUACGUCCCUGCCCUUUGUACACACCGCCCGUCGCUGCCCGGGACUGAGCCGUUUCGAGAAAAGCGGGGACUGCUGCUGUCGGGGCUUUCGGGCCUUGGCUUCGGUGGAAACCGCUUUAAUCGCAGUGGCUUGAACCGGGCAAAAGUCGUAACA
rnacentral:rRNA from 1 species